UACGGGGGGUGCAAGCGUUGUUCGGAUUUACUGGGCGUAAAGGGCGCGUAGGCGGCGCAACAAGUCACUUGUGAAAUCUCCGGGCUUAACCCGGAGCGGCCAAGUGAUACUGUCGUGCUAGAGUGCGGAAGGGGCUACUGGAAUUCUCGGUGUAGCGGUGAAAUGCGUAGAUAUCGAGAGGAACACCUGCGGCGAAGGCGGGUAGCUGGGCCGACACUGACGCUGAUGCGCGAAAGCCAGGGGAGCGAACGGG
rnacentral:rRNA from 1 species